rnacentral:pre_miRNA from 1 species
CGCUUUGGUGAUCUGGCCUUAUGAGUGAGCAACUGCAUCAUAAAGCUAGAUUAUCAAAGCU